rnacentral:antisense_RNA from 1 species
AAAUUAGGUGGACUGGGUGAGGGAGCCGAAAGGCUCGCCGUUUCGUUGAGCGGUAAUGCCAACCUUGUCCAGUUCACCUCAAUA